ACUUUAAUUUUAUACCAAACCCAAUAUUAUAAAAACCCAGAAACCCAAGCACAAAAAGAUUCACCACACUCUCUUUACCAAUGGUCUCUCCCGGAACCUUUAAAUGGUGUCUGGACCCCCGGGGAAACAUUUGCCCAAACACCUUGAAGAGGACACAGGCAAGAAAGGGUGGGAUCCUUCUGGGAUCUCCGCCCCCCUCCAGUGCACACCUGAAGCAAUCAACACCACCUGUUGGUCGUCUGCUGGCUUCUGAGAGCAAACCUUCAGUCUUCGCCUGGGAGUUGAACUAACCGUCGUAGCGAAAGCUGUCUGCUUUCCUGGUGUUGUCCUCCUUUGCACAGAAGCCCUGGAGUUUAUAUCUGGGAGAGGGAAACUGUGUGCGAGAGAUGUGUGGAGGAGAAUCUGUUCCUGUGUCAAGCAUGAUCGCAAACACUGGAUUUCACCACCGGACCUCGAAAUGGUUUUACUUUGUUUCUGUAAUUUCAAAACUUUAUGGUGUCAAAAAAGUAAAAGAAGAAUAUCAAAAUUAAGUUUGAAAUAAGAAAAACAAACUUAACUCUCAUAAUAGGUUCCAGUGCAAUAUUUACAAACUAAAGGUUAUAGAUGGGUCCCUUAUUUAUUCUAAUGAUGUGGACACACUCUCAACAGAGAACACGGUGCUGAACUCCCCCCAAAACCACACACAGCAAGCAAUUAAAAUGUGAAUGUACUGAGGCGGCAUGCACUCUGACACACACAUGCUAACAAUUUAUCCUCCCAUUAUUAUAAUAGUAGAUCAUCUUCUCUCCUAUUAAGACACACACACUCAUGCAGUCUGCUAUGGUGACUCACUCCAUUUCUUUUUUGUGUGGGAGCGCUGAUGAGCUCAGUGCAGUCUUUGAAGAGAUGACACGCCACGUCCGAUAUAUAAAGGGCUUUAACGGCUAAUCAAGCAGGAAGGUACUUUAUCUAAGCCUUACAUGCGCAGCCUCAGAACUGGGUAUGACUUCAUGCUGCAGGCCUCUGGGUCACGAUGGCUCAGAGACUGCCAUGAAUUUAUUUUGUGCUUGUUGUUUGACAUGUUUGUUUUGCAGGGGAAAUGAAAAGGAUAAGCACUCCCCCAAACAAAAGUAACUGACAACAAGAAGACAGACCAUGACAGACAAAGAAAGGCAGUGUGGAGCUAGCGUUAGACACUGAGACUGCAUAACGAGUCUGUUUCAGUAUCAUGUUUUAGAAGCAACAGAUUUGUUCAGAAAUGUGUUUUUGUUUUGUUUGUCUGCUUAUUUCUUGUAAUUCCUAUUAUUGUUGUUGAUGAGGCCAGAGAGUAAACACCAGAUCAUCAGGUCAAGUUUGCCAACAUUUGGCAAGUUUGGGUUAUCGCUAAACUCACACUACACCUACGGUUGAUGACAAAAUUGUGAAUAUUUAGUAAUAAAUCAGAACAGUGUGAAAAAAACCUAUCAUUACUUGUUGACAGAAACUGACUUAUUAGUUUUUACAUAUUUGCAACAAUUCGUGCAAUAUUUUAGACUUACCCAAACGGCACUGCCCAGAGGCCAUCAGUGUCUGUACAAAAUGUACCCAUACAGCUUGUAGGUGUCAAGAUAUUUCUCAGUAUAAAUUAAAAUCUGGUCAUGCCAGAGAAAUUAGAUGAGUAAUGAUUUGAAUCACUAUGGGUCAGCAUGCGGGGUCCAUGAA